UUUGUCGCCAUCAUUGAUCUGAUCAUGGGGUCGCUCUCCAGUCAUGCUCCUUGGGGUGUCAGCAGAGCCCCUCACUACAUACAGACAGGUUCAAGUCCACCCCACAAGAUGACCUGCCUCAGACACUGCUCUGAGCAUGACUGGACCGAUGGCGACUGAACUCUCUCAGAACAGGACUCGACUGUUACUCACAUGGUGCUCCAUGGCCCUAGCUGGGGGAGGCCGCCCUUCACAAUUCAAGACACUGACAGGAGACUCCAGGACUCGACCUGCCUGUGGCCAGUCUGAGGAGUAAAGAGGAGACCAGAAGGUCAGCUCAGAGGGGCAUCUCCAAGAACAAAGGCUCCAUGGGUGUCAAGUGAAUCUCAGACUUUUAGAUAUGAUCAUGGGCGAUUCAUACAGCUCCAAUAGGCAUCACAGACUGAAAGCCUCCCGUUCCAAUGCUAGACAUCAUCGAUCCACACAUGAGGUCCUCUCCCCAUGAUACUAUGACAUGCUCACAGUGCUCCAGUCAACACUCACAUCAUAGUGCCAUGCCCCUCAAAGGUUUUUUUUUUUUUUUGAUGGUUUUAUCAGUAAAUGAUCCCAUCUCCA